rnacentral:rRNA from 1 species
UACGGGGGGGAGCAAGCGUUGUUCGGAUUUACUGGGCGUAAAGGGCGCGUAGGCGGUCAGCACAAGUCAGUUGUGAAAUCUCCGGGCUUAACUCGGAAAGGUCAACUGAUACUGUGCGACUAGAGUGCAGAAGGGGCAACUGGAAUUCUCGGUGUAGCGGUGAAAUGCGUAGAUAUCAGGAGGAACACCGGUGGCGAAGGCGGUUCUCUGGGCAUUACCUGACGCUGAGGAGCGAAAGUGUGGGGAGCGAACAGG